rnacentral:miRNA from 1 species
UCACCUUGGCCGCCUCUCUGCAG